rnacentral:snoRNA from 1 species
GCUAUUGAUAAUGAACUGAUUGGCUACAUCCUCAAUGGAUUAAAUUGGAUUAUAAUCCUUUUGUGUCUUCUAUGUCUACCAAAGAUUCUGUCAGUUUGAGUGAUCUAUAUGCUCAGCUUCUCUCCUUUGAAU